AGCAGGNGCGCAAUUACCCAAUCCGGACACCGGGAGGUAGUGACAAGAAAUAGCAAUNNNNNGNCCGAUGGGUUUUCUAAUUGGAAUGAGAACAAGGUAAACAGCUUAUCGAGGAGCCAGCAGAGGGCAAGUCUGGUGCCAGCAGCCGCGGUAAUUCCAGCUCUGUAAGCGUAUACCCAAGUUGUUGCAGUUAAAACGCUCGUAGUCGGAAGUUGGCGGGCGAGNNGGGGCGUCUUCGCGGACGGACCUGNNUCGGCCGCCUUUGUGGAGGGGGGCUCGGNGCCGCUUGAGUGCGGNNUCGUUGUCGCUGCCACCGUUUACUGUGAAAAAAUUAGAGUGUUCAAAGCAGGCGUUUGCCGUGAAUACCUUAGCAUGGAAUAAUAGAAUAGGACCUGUGUUCUGUUUUAUUGGUUUGUGAGGACCGGGUAAUGAUUAAGAGGGACGGUUGGGGGCAUUUGUAUUCCGGCGUCAGAGGUGAAAUUCUUGGAUUGUCGGAAGACAAACGGCUGCGAAAGCGUCUGCCAAG
rnacentral:rRNA from 1 species